CCCUGGUUGUCAUCAUUGUCCACUGAGGAUGUCUGCUGCUCCAAAACGAACAAACAGGUAAGAGCUGGUGUUGUUGAGCUAAGUCUAGAAAUUAAUCUAGUAUAGGAGACACAUAUGUACUGCUGCUAUAACUACAGAUAUCAAUCAAGCAGCAUGUGCGUGUGCUUGAGCUAGCUUAUUAGUACAUACAUGGCUGGGAUCCAAAACGAAUAGAGCAUGCUUGCGUUAACAGAAUGAAUCACAAGGCUAAUUUUUGUGAUUGCUAACACUGCUAAGCUGCUAGCUGUGUGUGUUCAUUCAUCCAUCCAUGGAUCUAACUAAUGUUGUUGUAUCUCUAGACUAGAAUCAAAUGAUCAUUAGUGUUAUUAUUAACUUGAUGGUGGCAUCUUCUAAUAGGGUAAAGAUUUCAUAAAAGACACGAAAAAUGGAUGAGGCAAGCAUCAUCAAACAGCACACUCACAAUCAACUAUCACAUAAAAACUGAAACAAUACUUGUUGUACUGUUGUGGCCAUAACAAUUGCAACCGAUGCCCACUUCAUAUCAGAUCUGUAAGGGGUAGAAGGAGGGGUGGAGCUCACCAUGUCAAGGGGUUGGAGGAGGGGGGAGGGCGUCCUGUAGCAGCAGCUUCUCCUCGUGAGAGCAACCUGCACAAAAUAGAGCCGUCAACAUGUUCAGACCAGGAAGAGAAAAAAGACAGAACAAAAAAAGAACCUACCAUGGUGUCCUGUACACAGUAGGAGCAGCUCCCCUCUCUCCAUUCCCUUACAUUGGAACUAGAACCAGCAGCAAGUAGGUUACCACUUGUUCCACCAAAGGAGAAGCUAAACAUUUCAUGCGAGGGGCCAGCAUUUAGCAAAGAUAUCUGACAGACAUUUAGAGAACAGUGAAUGGUUGGAUACAGAAAAUGCAAGUAUAUUUUGAUUUAGAAAUAGCUGAAGCACUAAUUACCUAUACAAUACAGUGAAUGUAAAUACCAGAUCAAAAGUAUGCUAGUGAAUCAAGUAGAAGAGAUUAUGUCCAGUGGCAACAGGACACAGUAAAACAAAACAACAUUCAGAAGUGGGGUUAUUUCUAUUUCAAUGUGGAAGGAAUUCAUAUUUGGCUAGGAUCAGUAUAUAAAUGCAAUGGAUCUAUUCCAAAAUUAGUAAGAAAAUCGCUACUCCAUAUGUCAUUGUCCAGGUUGCGCUUUGCAUCAUGUCAUCUCAUUUUACAGGAAAAGAAAUUAAUAGUUGUCUAGUGUGAACAGAGCAGAACAGAGAGAAACUCAAUGAGAUAUAAUAACUCAU
rnacentral:lncRNA from 1 species